CUGUAUAUUAUCUGAUCCGCUCUGCUACAAGAUGACACCCUGAUCAGCUUUUAAGGAUGGAAAACAGCUAUUGGUGAGUGACUUGAGCAUUAAUCUUAUUAUUUAGUUGCAUUUAAUGUUCUUCCUUUUAUGUUUCUAUGCAAUAUAUGACAUGAACUAAAGUUUCCUACAGCAGGACUACCAUCUGUACCAGGUUCCACAUAGAUGUUGUUUGUCAGGUGAAAAGGUUCUGGUUUGUUUCUGUUCAGCUGAUGGCGAGGGUGAAAUUGAGAUGACAGGAAGCAUGCUUCUCAUUACAGAAUUGUGUGAUCACUUUGUACCUACAGAGAAAGCGACCCAUACAAAAAAGCCUAUUCAAGGGAACACGUUUAGGAUGUGGCAAGUAACUUAGUUUCUACACUUGUAUGGCGACGAGAGGUCAUGAUUCAUGUAUGGUUUUUCUCAUCAAAUAUCAAGCAGGGCACUGCAAAGAGAACAGAAACCCAUCUCCACGGCAUAAAGACUGGUGAGCUGGGAAAUGCUCCAUGUUGAAAUUGAAACUUUUGAUUCCUGGUUCCUGAUUCCCACUUAGGAGUUGUGCUUGGAGUGAUGCGAAGUCUUUCUGAUGUUGAUUAUUUUCAAGGUGUUCAUUUUGCCUCACAGCUGGCUGCGCAGUUUAUAUGCAAAUACCUAUGGGAGCCAGCAGCUUGAGAGCGUUGCUGACUCAGCUACUGGGCCUGUGGUUAAUGGAAUUAUAGUUGUUCUGUACAAAAAUUCUGUAAAAAAGCGGGAAAUUGACUAUAAUCAAUAUGUAAUUUGUUUCAUUCU